GGGAAUCUGCCCUUUGGUUCGGAAUAACAGUUGGAAACGACUGCUAAUACCGGAUGAUGACGUAAGUCCAAAGAUUUAUCGCCAGAGGAUGAGCCCGCGUAGGAUUAGCUAGUUGGUGUGGUAAGAGCGCACCAAGGCGACGAUCCUUAGCUGGUCUGAGAGGAUGAUCAGCCACACUGGGACUGAGACACGGCCCAGACUCCUACGGGAGGCAGCAGUGGGGAAUAUUGGACAAUGGGCGAAAGCCUGAUCCAGCAAUGCCGCGUGAGUGAUGAAGGCCUUAGGGUUGUAAAGCUCUUUUACCCGGGAUGAUAAUGACAGUACCGGGAGAAUAAGCUCCGGCUAACUCCGUGCCAGCAGCCGCGGUAAUACGGAGGGAGCUAGCGUUGUUCGGAAUUACUGGGCGUAAAGCGCACGUAGGCGGCUUUGUAAGUUAGAGGUGAAAGCCUGGAGCUCAACUCCAGAAUUGCCUUUAAGACUGCAUCGCUUGAAUCCAGGAGAGGUGAGUGGAAUUCCGAGU
rnacentral:rRNA from 1 species